AGUGAACGCUGGCGGUAGGCCUAACACAUGCAAGUCGAACGGCAGCACAGUAAGAGCUUGCUCUUACGGGUGGCGAGUGGCGGACGGGUGUGGAAUACAUCGGAAUCUACUUUUUCGUGGGGGAUAACGUAGGGAAACUUACGCUAAUACCGCAAACGACCUACGGGUGAAAGCAGGGGAUCUUCGGACCUUGCGCGAUUGAAUGAGUCGAUGUCGGAUUAGCUAGUUGGCGGGGUAAAGGCCCACCAAGGCGACGAUCCGUAGCUGGUCUGAGAUGAUGAUCAGCCACACUGGAAGUGAGACACGGUCCAGACUCCUACGGGAGGCAGCAGUGGAGAAUAUUGGACUGUGGGCGCAAGCCUGAUCCAGCCAUACCGCGUGGGUGAAGAAGGCCUUCGGGUUGUAAAGCCCUUUUGUUGGGAGAGAAGAGCAGCAGGUUAAUACCCCGCUGUUCUGACGGUACCCAAAGAAUAAGCACCGGCUAACUUCGU
rnacentral:rRNA from 1 species